ACAACUUGUCCCGCUUGGACUUUCAAGGACUCAGAAAGCUAGUGCUAGAGGUAGGGAACUUGAAGUGUCCAGUCUGUCCCUUGUGCCACUUCUCCUCUCGCCCUCAGUCACAUGUCAGUUCCCAUCGAAGACUGUAUGCACGAAAAGAAGAGCAUGUCCUUGGGAAAAAUGGAGGAUGAUUUCGAAGUCAGGAAAGCCCGACUUUACAAGGGGUUGAGGUGGAAGACCCAGACCCAGGACGUCCAGCACUCCCACUCACCUGGGAAUGAGCUCUGCCCCUCCACGGAACACGCUUCAAAGGUCUGCCUGUGUGGGUGCAGCUUGCGGACAAAAGUGGUCCUCCAUCCCAGGCCGGACCCACUUCCGGCCCCUCGGGUGCCUCCCAGCUUACCAUCGGAGAGGAAGACACUGGUUUCCAGGGAUACAGUUUUUCCCGUUCAGCUCUCGAAUGACUCAUUGAAGGAAAAAGCUGAGGGUAAGCCCCAGCUGUUACCUUGGCGUGACCCGGUACCUCUGCGCCAGCUGGUGCCCAUGAGCGUGUGGCCCAAGGGCUUUAUUGACCCGCUCCCCAAGCUUUUGCCAGAGAAAGCUUUGAGCACCCUUAUCCAUAUUGAAGGGAUUCACAUCCCCAGGGCAGUAUCCCCCGUGAUGGCACUGGGGAAAGAUACCAAAUCCUCUCUGCCACCUUUACUGAAAUGAGCGUGUCCACUCAAUUAAUCACUAAUUUUCUGUAUCUACUGUAAACAUAUGAAGCUAUUUUAAUGGAGAAUAUAUUUAUAUUCUCAUUAUGACCCCAGUGGGGACUUCCAGAACACUGUAUCCCAAUGUAUCUUUCAAAAUACAUUUCUAUAUAUCUUUGUGUGUGA
rnacentral:lncRNA from 1 species